rnacentral:sRNA from 1 species
GUCCUGAGCAGCACCUAAUGGCCCGGCCAAGGGGCAGAGACACGAGCGACUGGGGGCACCUCUGACGUGCAGUUCCUGGCCUCGGUGCUGCCCCCAGACACGGACCCUGCGUUCUUCGAGCACCUUCGGGCCCUCGACUGCUCCGAGGUGACGGUGCGAGCCCUGCCCGAGGGCUCCCUCGCCUUCCCGGGCGUGAGUAGGGGUAAGCGGGCGGCGCGGCGGCCACGGGGUGCUGGGCCGAGCGCGGAGCUGACUUCGCUCCCCGCAGGUGCCGCUCCUGCAGGUGUCCGGGCCGCUCCUGGUGGUGCAGCUGCUGGAGACACCGCUGCUCUGCCUGGUCAGCUACGCCAGCCUGGUGGCCACCAACGCAGCGCGGCUUCGCUUGAUCGCAGGGCCAGAGAAGCGGCUGCUAGAGAUGGGCCUGAGGCGGGCUCAGGGCCCCGAUGGGGGCCUGACAGCCUCCACCUACAGCUACCUGGGCGGCUUCGACAGCAGCAGCAACGUGCUAGCGGGCCAGCUGCGAGGUGUGCCGGUGGCCGGGACCCUGGCCCACUCCUUCGUCACUUCCUUUUCAGGCAGCGAGGUGCCCCCUGACCCGGUCAGUCCCUCCUCUCAACCCUGCUGUCUCCAGGCGACAGGCCCCAAGCCAGCCCUUUCUCUGGCGAGCGGUGUGCCACCCAGUCAGGUCACCCCAGUGCUAUCCCAGGAAGCUGGCAC